AAGUCGUAACAAGGUUUCCGUAGGUGAACCUGCGGAAGGAUCAUUAACGAGUUAGGGUCUUUUAGGCCCGACCUCCCAACCCUGUGUUUAACUACCCUGUUGCUUUGGCGGGCCCGUCUUCGGACCGUCGGCGGUCAGCAAUGACUUCUGGCCAGCGCCCGCCAGAGACCCAUUUUAAAAAUUUGUUGAAACGUGUCGUUCUCAGUAAAAAUUUAAAUUGUCAAAACUUUCAACAACGGAUCUCUUGGUUCUG
rnacentral:misc_RNA from 1 species